rnacentral:rRNA from 3 species
UACGUAGGGUGCAAGCGUUAAUCGGAAUUACUGGGCGUAAAGCGUGCGCAGGCGGUUUUGUAAGACAGGCGUGAAAUCCCCGGGCUUAACCUGGGAAUUGCGCUUGUGACUGCAAGGCUGGAGUGCGGCAGAGGGGGAUGGAAUUCCGCGUGUAGCAGUGAAAUGCGUAGAUAUGCGGAGGAACACCGAUGGCGAAGGCAAUCCCCUGGGCCUGCACUGACGCUCAUGCACGAAAGCGUGGGGAGCAAACAGG